rnacentral:lncRNA from 10 species
CCCAAUAAGGGAGCAGUUGGUAAGGCGUAUAAGAAGCAUGCAAAACUGAUGAUGGAGUAUCUCGCCAAUUGUGAUGAAUGUUACAUUACAGAAAUUGAGAUGCAAUUGAAUGAGAAAGGGGAAUUUACAAUUGAACCCGAAGGGAAAACAUUUCGGCUAACAAAAGAUGUGGCCAAACGUGAUGAGAUUCCAGAGAACACUCUGUGUGGAAGAAGUUGUUCUGAAUGUAACUGAACCCUCCUUCAGCCUGUGCAGGAUUAUGUAUAUGGUAUUUGAACAUAUAUUCCAUGUAAGAGAAGGAGAUGAACAGAGAACAUUCCUCAGUUUCCCUGCUAUAGUCACUCUAUUCAAAUGUUACGCCCUCUCACUGAGCCAAAACCAUUCAUGCCAUUUAUCAAGGAAUUAUCGGAAGCCCUGACCAGGCACAGGUUGUCUCACAAAGUAGAUGAUUCCUCUGGGUCAAUUGGGAGACACUAUGCCAGGACUGAUGAGAUUGGUGUGUCUUUCAGUGUCACCAUUGACUUUAACACAAUGAACAAGACCCCCCACAAUGCAACUCUGAGAGACUGAGAUGCAAUGUGACAGAUAACAGCAGAGGUCUCUGAGCUGCCUAGCAUAGUCCGAGAUCUGACCAGUGGCAGCAUCAUAUGGGCCAAUGUGGUGGCCAGGUAUCCUCUCUUUGCAGAGCAAUGAUACAGGAGGUAGAAAGAAAUUAUUUA